rnacentral:tRNA from 1 species
UCCUCCUUAGCUCAGUUGGUAGAGCGCGUCACUAGUACGCCUGGUAUAUGACGAGGUCAGUCGUUCAAGUCGGCUAGGAGGAA